rnacentral:rRNA from 1 species
CAGUAGCCGCGGUAAUACAGAGGAUGCAAGCGUUAUCCGGAAUGAUUGGGUGUAAAGCGUCUGUAGGUGGCUUUUCAAGUCCGCCAUCAAAUCCCCGGGCUCAACCCUGGACAGGCAGUGGAAACUACCAAGCUGGAGUACGGUAGGGGCAGAGGGAAUUUCCGGUGGAGAGGUGAAAUGCGUUGAGAUUGGAAAGAACACCAACGGUGAAAGCGCUCUGCUGGGCCGACACUGACACUGAGAGACGAAAUCUAGGGGAGCAAAUGGGAUUAGAUACCCCUGUAGUCCCUGUCUCUUAUAC